rnacentral:lncRNA from 1 species
CUUUCUAGUCCCAUAACCUCCCAGUUUACCGUUCGUUUCGGCCACCCAACCUGGAGACAGCAGUUGUGAAAUCUUCCCAGGCAUGUCGCCUGGCAGGUCGCCAUCAGGACUACUAUGACAGACCUGACCAAAAGUCUCACUCACCGAGCUCUCCGACCACCCCGGGGUGUCCAUACACGGUUCCUCCCAUGACAGCAGCUCCUUGUUCAGAGAGCUCUCCGUAUCACCUUGGAAAAAGAUGAAAAACGCAGUGGAAAAAUGAACAAGGGAUCUGAGUGUCAUCGUAAACACUCAAACCUGUUCAACUUCACUUAGAAUUAGAGACUUGGAAAUCCCUGUCCAUGAAAAACCCAUCUGAAUGGCAAGGAUCACAAGUUUGGCCACAUGCCGUACAAAAUGUUUCUAUGUAUCUGAGACAGAUGGGCUUCAAUCUAGCUCUCAGCAUCCUGCCUCAGCAUCCUAGGGUUCAAGGAUAAUUGUGCACUACCACGCCCUGUUUCUGUCACAAUUCUGAUAGAAGUUCUGCAAAACACAAAUGUGUGUCCCACCUCAGCUCCAAGCAACACCCGAGGCCUGGAUGGUGACACCCAUAUCACCAACCAAAGACCUGCCACUGCCAACCCAGAUGCUCUGAGAGGCCUUUGUCUGGAAGCCAUCCUCACUAGCUAUUGUAUUAGCUCAGAUUUGGAUCCCAUCAUUAAACUUUACUCUUUGACUUCAUAAAGAUUCUCUUCCCUAUCCGCCUGACUAGUUACAAAAGUCAAUAAUCUCUACUACAGGUCUCAAAAGGAGGAUUAGUAGUUGCUUGAUGAAGCAAGAAAGCAAAUAUGGUUGGCCAUAUGUUGCCAAGAAAAGGAAGAAUGUGUCUCGUUUUUGAAGAAGAGGAAGAGGAGGAAGAGGAAGAGGAAGAGGAAGAGGAAGAAGA